rnacentral:tRNA from 1 species
UUGGGAUAGCUCAGUGGUAGACCAAAAGUUUUUGUU